rnacentral:rRNA from 1 species
UACGUAGGCAGCGAGCGUUGUUCGGAAUUACUGGGCGUAAAGAGUGUGUAGGCGGUGUUCCCAGUCUGUUGUGAAAUCUCCCGGCUUAACUGGGAGGGUGCAGCGGAAACUAGAAUGCUAGAGGGUGGGAGAGGUAAGCGGAAUUCCUGGUGUAGCGGUGAAAUGCGUAGAUAUCAGGAGGAACACCUGUGGUGUAGACAGCUUACUGGACCACUUCUGACGCUGAGACACGGAAGCGUGGGUAGCAAACAGG